CUAUUUUGUGUUAUGUCAUGAAAAUGAUGCUUAAGUUCAGGUCACUUACAUGCCAGGGCACUGAAGAGUCUUAGAAUAAUUAUGCUGGCUAAACUUUGGACUAGCACAACAAAUGGAGGAAGAGUCACACUUUAAGAGGCAGAAAUGGGAUUGUGGAAAUCACAAGCAAGAGAGCCUAACAUCACAUCUUAGCAAAGUUCUAGAUCAAUCUCUUGGAUAGUGUGAGUUCUCCAUAAUAAUUAUGAACUAGAAGCCACUGUGGACUCUCUCACACAAAAUCAUGACAUUUCCUCUUACAGCUAUGUCAUUGAACAUGUGUUGCUGGUCUAUAGGUCUGGCAUAGACAUGGUUUAAGAAAGAAAUGAUAACUAUGAGUUCCUUUUCAACAAGUGACAAGAAAUGUUGGUGAAGAGAUAACCUGCUUUAGUCAAUGUGUAGCUAAUUAAUUAUUAGACCUAAAGAAUAUUUUCUUAGCAAAUUGAUGUCAGCCUGGAGAGAGGUCUUUGCUGCUUUGCUUUGAACUUAACUUUGACAGAAACCUUUAAAAAAAAAAA
rnacentral:lncRNA from 1 species